rnacentral:rRNA from 1 species
GCGAGUCUUUGUAGUAAUACAAGGCAGACGGCUCAGUAACACGUAGUCAACCUACCCUAUGGACAAGAAUAAUCUCGGGAAACUGAGCAUAAUUCUUGAUAGAUCAUAAUGCCUGGAAUGGUUUAUGGUUAAAAUGAUUCGUCGCCAUAGGAUGGGACUGCGGCCUAUCAGCUUGUUGGUGAGGUAAUGGCCCACCGAGGCGAUUACAGGUACGGGCUCUGAGAGGAGAAGCCCGGAGAUGGGUACUGAGACACGGACCCAGGCCCUAUGGGGCGCAGCAGGCGAGAAAACUUUGCAAUGUGCGAAAGCACGACAAGGUUAAUCCGAGUGAUUUCUGCUAAAGAAACCUUUUGCCAGUCGUAAAACCGCUGGUGAAUAAGGGGUGGGCAAGUUCUGGUGUCAGCCGCCGCGGUAAAACCAGCACCUCAAGUGGUCAGGAUGAUUAUUGGGCCUAAAGCAUCCGUAGCCGGCUUUGUAAGUUUUCGGUUAAAUCCAUGUGCUCAACGCAUGGGCUGCCGAAAAUACUGCAUAGCUAGGGAGUGGGAGAGGUA